GACGAACGCUGGCGGCGUGCUUAACACAUGCAAGUCGAACGGAAAGGCCCUGCUUUUGUGGGGUGCUCGAGUGGCGAACGGGUGAGUAACACGUGAGUAACCUGCCCUUGACUUUGGGAUAACUUCAGGAAACUGGGGCUAAUACCGGAUAGGAGCUCCUGCUGCAUGGUGGGGGUUGGAAAGUUUCGGCGGUUGGGGAUGGACUCGCGGCCUAUCAGCUUGUUGGUGGGGUAGUGGCUUACCAAGGCUUUGACGGGUAGCCGGCCUGAGAGGGUGACCGGCCACAUGGGGACUGAGAUACGGCCCAGACUCCCACGGGGGGCAGCAGGGGGGAAUAUUGCACAAGGGGCGGAAGCCUGAUGCAGACACGCCGCGGGCGGGAUGCGGGCCUUCGGGUUGUAAACCGCUUUCGCCUGUGACGAAGCGGGAGGGAGGGUAAUGGGAAAAGAAGCACCGGCUAACUACGU
rnacentral:rRNA from 1 species